rnacentral:rRNA from 1 species
GACAGAGGUCUCAAGCGUUAGGCGGAAUCACUGGGCUUAAAGCGUGUGUAGGCGGAUUCCUAAGUACCUUGUGAAAUCCCCGGGCUUAACCCGGGAGCUGCUUGGUAUACUGGGUGUCUUGAGCCAACUAGGGGCGACCGGAACAAACGGUGGAGCGGUGAAAUGCGUAGAUAUCGUUUGGAACGCCAAUGGUGAAAACAGGUCGCUGGGGUUGUGCUGACGCUGAGAGACGAAAGCUAGGGGAGCGAAUGGG